AUUGAACGCUGGCGGCAGGCCUAACACAUGCAAGUCGAGCGGAUGAAGGGAGCUUGCUCCUGGAUUCAGCGGCGGACGGGUGAGUAAUGCCUAGGAAUCUGCCUGGUAGUGGGGGAUAACGUCCGGAAACGGGCGCUAAUACCGCAUACGUCCUGAGGGAGAAAGUGGGGGAUCUUCGGACCUCACGCUAUCAGAUGAGCCUAGGUCGGAUUAGCUAGUUGGUGGGGUAAAGGCCUACCAAGGCGACGAUCCGUAACUGGUCUGAGAGGAUGAUCAGUCACACUGGAACUGAGACACGGUCCAGACUCCUACGGGAGGCAGCAGUGGGGAAUAUUGGACAAUGGGCGAAAGCCUGAUCCAGCCAUGCCGCGUGUGUGAAGAAGGUCUUCGGAUUGUAAAGCACUUUAAGUUGGGAGGAAGGGCAGUCAGUUAAUACCUUGCUGUUUUGACGUUACCAACAGAAUAAGCACCGGCUAACUUCGUG
rnacentral:rRNA from 1 species